ensembl:snRNA U1 U1 spliceosomal RNA
AUACUUAACCUGGCAGGGGAGAUACCAUGAUUGCAAAGGUGGUUUUCCCAGGGUGAGGCUUAUCCAUUGUACUCUAGAUGCUGACCCCUGAGAUUUCCCCAAAUUUGGGAAACUCGGCUCGGCACCUGUGGCUCAAGUGGCUAAGGCAGCAGCCACAU